rnacentral:misc_RNA from 1 species
AACAUAAAGCGAUUGUUUACUUCCGGUAACGUAGCAGGUACUUGCAUGCAAAGACAUUCCGAUUCCGGCACUGAGAAUGGCAAAUGCACGGACAUUUUUCGAUCGAGAGAAGUUUUACGACCCUGUGCCUGAAGAUGGGGCUAUUGAAUUAGACACAUUUCUUGGCAAAACCAGUCAGAUAACCGUGGUGUUCGAUCACUUUGGAAGGGUUUUUUCACCAGUCAAGUCUGAUAUGAACAGCAACAUCGAGAAAUUACGGAAGGUUAUUGCUGCGAAGAGAGAAAGUGGAGGAGAUUAUAAGACUAUUCAAGAGAUUAUUGAGGAUGAAAUGGCAAGAAAUACUUAUCAAAGCAAAAAUUCGGGCACCGUAGCUGGAAUUUGGUUGGGAAGAGGGCUGAAGUUCAUGUACUUAUUUUUUGAGCAACUGGUCUCGGCUCACAAAGGAGGAGAUAUGACUGAGAACAACGUAGCAUUUGUCAAUGAGGCAUAUGCUAAUUCUCUAAAACAGCACCAUAAUCUCAUUUCUAAAGGUAUAUUCAAGGUGGCUCUUCAUGCAGCACCAAACAGGAGUGACCUGUGUAGGAAGUUGAUGAAAACCCCCGGGGAUAUGGAGGCCAAAGAUAUCAAUAAAGAGGUACUAGAAGAGAUGGAGGUCUAUCUGGUUAACCUAAAGAACACAGUGGAUACCUGGAACAGUCAGUGUAUGGCUAUUACAAAGGACAAGUACAACAGCCUAUAGCCUAUUUCUAUACAAAUCAUGGUUGCUGAAGCCUUAGAUGAGUUUGUUGCGGGGAUGGACAUUUGAGGGCCACUGUCAUGGCCUAUAUGGAAGCUUUUGUAGAUAAAGAGGUCGUCAAUCUAUAGACAUAGAAUGAUUUAGGUGUGCUUGAACAUUCUAUAAUUAUGUCAGUCUGGACGUUAGUAUUCCUGAAAUCUCUUCGUAGUACCUGAAAUCUGUGCCAUUUAUAUGUGUGUUCUCAGUGUGAGUUGGUCAUGGUUACAUGGAAGUCAAGUGUCCACAAAGUGUUUGUGUGAAACUGCUGUAUAUGAAAAUCUGGCAUUUUAUAUAUGUUGUUAGUGUUAGUCAGCUGUGGUAAUAUAAAAAUCAGGUCUCCUUAGUUACCCCGUACAUGUCCCCCAUGUGACAGUUUGAGGGUUAACUUUGGCAGUUACAGUGAAGUACAUAUCUUCAAGAUGUCAUAAGCAUUCAGAAAAGUAUGGUCAUCAAAAUAACUUCGGGGGGAGAUGGAUAUGGCUGGUAAUGACCGAUGAUCAGCUCAUUGUCAGUUGUAGUGAGUUGUGGUCAGCUGAUUCCAACACAUGAGGCUUGAAUUCCAAUAAUGCAUACAUAGCCUGUUAACACAGCUACUAACAAAUAUCACAGCACAAUGCUCCUGACUGCCAGCUUCAGAAUUAAGUAACUGCCUGUUCAACUAUGGUAGGAAGGACACACGACAGUUAUUUGUGUGUUAAAGAAAGACAUCUCAUUCUGCCAAAAUGUUGUUAUGGUAAUGAUUUUGCCCUUUUUGAAUACACUAUAUACCGAUUAUAAAAUGCCAAGGUUUUCAUUAUUUUUUAAUUUGAAUCUAAUAAAUCUGUUACAAUCUGUUACGCAGCAGUAUUUUGUGCCUCUACUGUUAUUGGACACAGUUCCAGUCGUACAUAUCAUGUGAUAUUUGUCUUAUCAGCUGGUUGAACAUUGUACAAGAAUGUUUUAUUGUAACUGGUUCUGACAUAAUCAUUGUACAUCAGAUUUUUAUGGUUCAGAUCUUUAAUAGGGUGUGAAAGGCUUUUCAUGUGUGAAUGUUCUGGUAAAUACUAGAACACCACUUUCAAAUGGUAGUUAAACUAGAAAAUGUCUAAGACAUAAAUGCCCCCUGCCCAUGGAUGGGACAGGACGGGACGGGAAGGACAUGGGCAACACUAUAUGCCCCUCCAGGUUAUAAAAGUGGGGAAAUAUAUUCCAUGCUAAAAAUGGGCAUAUUGAUUGACUUAGCCUAGGGUUGUGGUAUUCCGCUUACUUGCUCAACUUGUUCUGUGUAGCUAUCUUGAAUAAUCCACAUGUAAGACUAAUAACCACUGGCCUUAAAUCUCUCCCUCUCUCUUUGGGAUCCACACGGAUGUUAACCACUAGCCAAUUUCUAACACAUCAACUUACCAAGUAUUGUAUAACUUCAGCAAUAACCUGAUGCAAAGUAUGAUGACAUUGUAAUCUGGAACAUGCUGUGUGCUGGUAGAACUCUGCCUUCUGGGACCAGUAAUGUAUUGUUACAGGCCUUCUGGGACCAAUUAUGUAUUGUUACAGGCCUUCUGGGACCAAUUAUGUAUUGUUACAGGCUUUCUGGGACCAAUUAUGUAUUGUUACAGGCCUUCUGGGACCAGUUAUGUAUUGUUACAGGCUCAAACAGGGCUUUUUCCAUAUUGUAAUGCUGAAAAGUGAGAAAAGUACUGUAUUUUGUCAGUAGGGCAAUUUAUAUAUACAUUUGGGGAAUUACUCCCACUCCCUCCCCAACCAUUUUCCCUUGGAGGGGGGGGGGGGUGGAAGGCGAUCGCUGUACAUAUGAAACACUUUCUGCAAUAAUUAGAAUAAUCUGUCUAGAUAUUAUUGAUGUGGAAAUGUUUAUGAACUGUGAUAAGAUUAGCUUGUUUCUAUAUUCAUUUUGUCAAAUAAUAUCAUUUUGCUAACAUUUUUUAAUAACUUUAAUAAUGAGGUAUAAAUUGAAAUUUUAUAGAAAUUAUAUUUCCUUUUAGUUAAAACCUAUUGAACUUUAUAUUUACCAUAAAAUUAAUUGAGUAAAACAAUGUGUUUUAAGAUGUAGAUUUUUUUAUGAAAUUCCUAAGUCAAAUUAUUAUUUCAAACAUGAACUGAAUCUGUAAACUUAUCAAUUUUAGAAUUAUGAAUGUAAAAGUUGUUAAUUCAAAUUAACUCAGUUGUUUUACUUAUCGUUAUAAGAGAUAUUUUUUCAUUAUAUUUAACAAUACGAUAUUCAAACCAUCAGCAUGUUUCUGUUCUGAUGAGAUAUAUAUAUAUAUUAUGUACAAGUUAUAAAAGUAAGGGUAAAAAAAUUGUAUCGCCAAACCAAAAUAUAUACCAGUCAGUCCAGAUUGUGAGAGUGAAUUGUAUUUAUGAUUAUAGUGUAACAGGAAAUGAUUGAUGUAAACCGCCUGUAAUAUUGUAACUGUAAGAAAACUGCAACAUCACAAAAGUAUGUAGAUACAUUGUAUAUGGUAACAAAUUGUCGCCUGGUGGUUGUGUGGAAUUUAGGUAAAACUAGUAACGAAUUGUCGCCUGGUGGUUGUGUGGGAUUUAGGUAAAACUAUCAGAAGUCACCAAUUAGUGUAUCCUGUUUUUACAAAUAACUACCCACAAACAUCCUCCAAUAUUUCAGGCUUUAAAUGAAAAUAUUUUUGAUAGCAUCUUCAUAUUUGAUGUAGGUAUUUCUCUGGUUCAUGUAUGUUCCAUCACGUACCUUGCACACAUAAAGUUUUCAGCGAUGUAAAGAAGCUACUGAUUUCUCUGUAGUCACUAAACAUAGGUGAACUUCAGAUUAAUUGAAAGUUGGAAGAAAUGUUAGCUGGUUAUCCAUGAUUGUAAAACAUGAGUUAAAUGAAUUGAGGAUGUAUUUAUACAUUUAAAAAUUUCUCUGGAAAAAAACAUUUGCUUUGGGUACGCUUUGGUAUAUACUGUAUAAUGCUUGUGGGAUGCCAGCACAUAUACAAGCUUGAAUCUAUUAAGUUGAAACCCAUUUCUCAUCUUCACAAUAUGUCAAAACCAAACCCUCUAUUAUUGUCAUCAUGAUUGUUUGAAUGUUUCUUUUAAAUCCCCUGCCCCCCAGAUGCGUUUUUAUGUAGCAGUAGUAUACGGUGCCCACCUGGUUAGAUUUUGUGUGGCUGCAGUAUUUUGAACAGUUCAGUCCCAAACAGACAUGGUUUUAUUAAGCUUUAUUACUGGUUACAAUUGCAGUGCAUGUAUUUAUGAAGUAAAUGUUGUAGUCUGUAACUCAGAUGUAUACACAAAUAUUUAUUAUUCAUAUAGUCAUGAAAAAAUAAUGUGCUAAUUGAAAGAUUUAAAUUACAUGAAUAAGCUGUAUGGUUAUGUCAGAACCUUGUUCAAAACGGGGAUAGGUUAUAGUUGAUAUAUUUUUUAAACAAAAUAUGUUACCUUUGUCUUAUAAGCCUAAAUGGCUUACAGAAUAAAAAGAAUUGAAUUGAAGUCUAUAAUGUUUGUACUGAUCAUGCAAUAAGUUCAGUCCCGUCACUUUUGUCAUUGUGUGCCUUGGACCAUCUGAAAUAUUAAUUAUUAACAAUCUACUUUGAUUGUUUGAAGACAGUGCACAAAGAUGUCUGAUGGCUAUCAUCAUUACCCUCGGAUAAAAUGUGUUUUUUUAAAACCAACAUUGUGGUUUUAAUGCUAGCUUUGUUAUCUUGGAAACAGCUGUGUUGUCGGAGGUGAAGCAGUCAUCUUUUGACCAGCUCAGUUGUUUAAGUAUACCUACCAGCUCCAUUGAUUGAGUAAUUCAGUUAUCUUAGGAUCAGCUCAGUUGUUUUAGGACCAGCUCAGUUUUCUGAGGAUCAGCUCAGCUGUUUUAUUAGAAGCACCUGUGUUGUUUUAGGUCUUGAUCAGUUGACUUAGGAUCAGCUAAGUUAAAUUAGGACCAGCUCAGCUGUCUUAGGAUCAGCUCAUUUGUUUUAAUAGAAGCAUCUGUGUUGUUUUAGGACUAGAUUAGUUGACUAAGGACCAAUUCAAUUAUCUCAGGACCAAUUUUUGAAGGACCAGAGUUUGGUUUUCUACAGACCAGAACGGCUUAUUGCCAGAGAUGUUUGUACAGCAACACGGCUGUUCUUAAACAAACCAACUUCGUUAACUGUUGUUAUAUCUUAUCAUCAGUGGAACCUUGGUACUUUGACUGUAUGACAUGAAUGCAUAAUAAUUAUAUAUAUACACUAUUACCUAUUCUGUAGAUUAAUGGUGAGAUUGUCAAAUGGUUGUGAACUUGUUUAAUAAACAAUGAAUUAUAUUUGAAGUAAAAUCAUUGGAUACAAUUGUUUGUACAUAUAAUCUUGUCAGUUGUAAAGGAAACCCAUUAAUAUCACAUUAUAUGUAUAACAUCUGGUGUGAUUAUCAACAUUACAUAAAGCUGAGUACAUGGUGUGUUAAAGAAAAUUAAAGAAUAGACAUCUGUUUGUUUCACUUCAGGUGGAAUUAGAAAAGCUGUAUUAUAUUUUUUGAAUUUUCUUUUUUUCGUCAAAGUAUCAUUUUUGUAAGAGAGAUAUCCUGGUUAACAUAUACUGGCCUAAUUAAACUACCAAUGAAGUGGAACUGGGCUGGGUCAAUUAAGUCAUUAGGCUGUGCACUUUUCCCUUUCCUGUUACAUUCGACACCAAAUAAAAUUUACCCAGAGAAGGUGGUAUAUAGAGUCUCAUCUGCCUAUAGGGGCCAACAACUUGUUAAAGGCAGGAAGAAUGUAGCAGAACUGGACUGGAUCAAUCGCUAAUGACCAGGUAACUCGGUUGGUUAGAGCAACCUCCAAGACUUUGGAGGUCUCGGGUUCAAAAACCGGUCUGGCCGUGCAUGUUUCCCUAUCACUGGUUCACCAGUAUUACAUGCCUUAUUGUCCUGCUGCUAUUACAGGCCUAUUAGUACUACUGCUAUAACAGGCUUAUUAGUACUACUGCUAUUACAGGCCUAUCAGUACUACUGCUAUUACAGGCCUAUUAGUACUACUGCUAUUACAGGCCUAUAAGUACUACUGUUAUAACAGGCCUAUUAGUACUACUGCUAUUACAUGCCUAUACGUACUACUCCUAUUACAGGCCUAUUAGUACUAUAGAUUUUCUGUCCUUUAGAGUGGUUUGAAUGUGAUUUUUCUAAUACGAUACAAAUAUUGGAUAACUGAUUUAUGUUUAGAAAUGUCGACAGUACAAAGCAUGUAGUGUGAUUAGGGAAUACUGUAUUUAUACACCUUAGCUACACAUAGAUUUAUUUAUUUUUAUCAAAACUGGUGACAGGUUCUUUACCAAAGAGAAAUAUCUUUGUUUUCACUAUGUGCGGUUUAAUAAAAUGAGUGGGUUUUAACAUGUUA